CGGGGUGCAGCAGGCGCGAAAACUUUACAAUGCUGGAAACAGCGAUAAGGGGACCUCGAGUGCCAGGUUACAAAUCUGGCUGUCGUGAUGCCUAAAAAGCAUUGCAUAGCAAGGGCCGGGCAAGACCGGUGCCAGCCGCCGCGGUAACACCGGCGGCUCGAGUGGUAACCGUUAUUAUUGGGUCUAAAGGGUCUGUAGCCGGCCGGAUAAGUCUCUUGGGAAAUCCAGCAGCUCAACUGUUGGGCUUUCAGGAGAUACUGUCUGGCUCGAGGCCGGGAGAGGUGAGAGGUACUUCAGGGGUAGGGGUGAAAUCUUGUAAUCCUUGAAGGACCACCAGUGGCGAAGGCGUCUCACCAGAACGGACCUGACGGCAAGGGACGAAAGCUAGGGGCACGAACCGGAUUAGAUACCCGGGUAGUCCUAGCCGUAAACGAUACUCGCUAGGUGUCGGCCACGGUGCGACCGUUGUCGGUGCCGUAGGGAAGCCGUGAAGCGAGCCACCUGGGAAGUACGGCCGCAAGGGUGAAACUUAAAGGAAUUGGCGGGGGAGCAC
rnacentral:rRNA from 1 species